CUAAUACCUCAUAAUGCAGCGGAUCCGCAUGGAUAUGUUGUUAAAGUUUACCGCCUUGGGAUAGGCUUGCGUCUGAUUAGCUAGUUGGUGUGGUAACGGCACACCAAGGCUACGAUCAGUAACUGGUCUGAGAGGAUGAUCAGUCACACUGGAACUGAGACACGGUCCAGACUCCUACGGGAGGCAGCAGUGAGGAAUAUUGGGCAAUGCUCGAAAGAGUGACCCAGCAACGCCGCGUGGAGGAUGAAGGUAUUCUAUAUCGUAAACUCCUGUGAGAGCAGACGAAAGACAGAUUAUUAAUCUGGAUGACUGUAUGCUCAGAGGAAGCCCCGGCUAACUACGUG
rnacentral:rRNA from 1 species